AAACAUUUGCCAAAUUAAGCCAUGUUGAUGCAGAAAAAAGAAAGAAAUACUAGCGAACCUGCACAAGUUAUGGAAUGAAUAUGUCUUCAGAGGUAAAACCGGCCCUAUUAACGAAGAGGAAUUUGUUGAGAUGAAUUCUCAACAGUAUGAAGCCGACAAAGCAAAGUUUCAAGAGGGAUUGAGAAAGGCUUAUACUGCUAUUUUUAGUGAUGUAAUCGAUGUUCACCAUGAAGGAUUCGUCACUGAAAAAGAAUUUGUUAACAUAAUGAAGGCUAAUGGUCAUGAAAAUGUAGCGCGUGAUAAAAUGUUUUUCAGUUUGUAUAAACCUGAUGGAGGGAAAGUUCCAUUGCAAGUUCUUAUCGACUCGUGGGUCCAGUUUACAAUCUCUGAUGAUAGUUCGCUAAGAGAUGUGGUGAAGGAAGCUUUAGAGGCGGGCAUAUAAUCGCUCUUGUGCAUGCAAAACGGAUAAGCUUAACACAUAAUCAGAGGAUUAAUAGAUAUGCAAAUUAACUGAUGGACAACUUUAAACAGUCUAUGACAAGGCCCUCUCAGUCAGGAAAUAAGCAGUAUAGCUUUUGGAUCAGUGGUGAAAAGUAGCUGUAACCCGAGUUCAAACAUUAAAGAACAAAUAUUCUGAAGUCAUUAUCUUUACGAACUUCUUAUUUAAUCCGCUUACUUAACACGUGAGAUCUCAAAAACAAGUAGUUUUCCUUUGUUUGAUAGUGCACCUAAUAUCAGUUGAUCAUAUUAAUAUUGUGUAGAACAAUCGAAGAAACAGUUGCUAUCUGUACGUUUGCAUAAUAAGAAUAAACAUUAAUGGAAAAAUA
rnacentral:misc_RNA from 1 species